AUGAAAUGCCUGAGUUGGAACUGCCGGGGGCUUGGGAACCACGAGGCAGUUUGGGAGCUUUGGAAAUUGAUGAAGCAAGAAGUGCCCACCUUGCUCUUUGUUUCAGAGACGAAGAUCAGGGCUAGAAGAGUAGAGAUCCUGCAACAAAGUCUUGGCUUUGCGGGAUGCUUUGUGGUGGAUAGUGCAGGACUAAGCGAAGGAAUCGGUCUGUUCUGGUCAAGUGAUGUUAAGGUUGAGUUGAAAAAUUACAGUUCUGGACACAUUGAUGUUAUGGUUCAGAAAGCUGAUGUUAUGGUGCGCCAAGAAAAGAACAUAGACACCAUAGUUGGCACUGUUUGA
rnacentral:rRNA from 1 species